CAGUAGCCGCGGGAAUACGAAGGGGGCUAGCGUUGUUCGGAUUUACUGGGCGUAAAGCGCACGUAGGCGGACGCUUAAGUCAGGGGUGAAAUCCCGAGGCUCAACCUCGGAACUGCCCUUGAUACUGGGUGUCUUGAGUCCGGGAGAGGUGAGUGGAACUGCGAGUGUAGAGGUGAAAUUCGUAGAUAUUCGCAAGAACACCAGUGGCGAAGGCGGCUCACUGGACGACUGUUGACGCUGAGGUGCGAAAGCGUGGGGAGCAAACAGGAUUAGAGACCCCAGUAGUCCCUGUCUCUUAUAC
rnacentral:rRNA from 1 species